AUAAGUUUGGUCCUAGCUUUAUUUUCGAUUAUCUCUCAACUUACACAUGCAAGUCUCAGCAACCCAGUGAAGACGCCCUUUUAACCUUACAAGGAUAAGGAGCCGGCAUCAGGCACAGAAUUCUAGCCCAUAACGCCUAGUCCUACCACACCUCCAAAGGUACUCAGCAGUGAUAAAGAUUGCCCAUAAGCGUAAGCUUGAACCAGUCAGGGAGAAGAGGGCCGGCCAACCCGGUGCCAGCCGCCGCGGCUACACCAGAGGGCCCAAGUUGAUAAUACACGGCGUUAAGCGUGAUUAGAGGAUAUAAAUAAGUUAGAAUUAAAUUUAAGCUUAGAUGUGAUAAUCUUGCUACCAAGAAACCCAAAAACGAAAGUUAUUCUAAUCUCAUUCUUGAACACACGACAGUUUGGGCCCAAACUGGGAUUAGAUACCCCACUAUGCCAAACCGUAAAAAUUUAACCUACACCAAUAAACGCCAGGGUACUACGAGCUUUAGCUUAAAACCCAAAGGACUUGACGGUAUCCCACCCAACUAGAGGAGCCUGUUCUAUAAUCGAUGAUCCACGAUACACCUAACCAUUUCUUGCUUAUCAGCCUGUAUACCUCCGUCGCAAGCUUACCGUAUGAACGUUAAACAGUAGGCUCAAGGGCCAUAACGCCACAACGUCAGGUCAAGGUGCAGCUCAUGAAAUGGAAGAGAUGGGCUACAAUUUCUAACUUAGAACAAACGAAAUACUACAUGAAACAUAGUCAUGAAGGCGGAUUUAGCAGUAAGCAGAAAAUAGAGAGUUCUGCUAAACUUGGCCCUGGGAUGUGUACAAACCGCCCGUCACCCUCUUCGAUAGCCUUAAACACAGUUCUUAACAUAAUAAUGCACCUUAGAAGAGGCAAGUCGUAACAUGGUAAGUAUACUGGAAAGUGUACUUGGAACAA
rnacentral:ncRNA from 1 species